rnacentral:rRNA from 1 species
UACGUAGGGGGCAAGCGUUGUCCGGAUUUAUUGGGCGUAAAGAGCGUGUAGGCGGCCCGGUAGGUCAGCUGUGAAAACUCGAGGCUCAACCUCGAGACGCCGGUUGAAACCAUCUGGCUAGAGUCCGGAAGAGGAGAGUGGAAUUCCUGGUGUAGCGGUGAAAUGCGCAGAUAUCAGGAAGAACACCUAUGGCGAAGGCAGCUCUCUGGGACGGUACUGACGCUGAGACGCGAAAGCGUGGGGAGCGAACAGG